AUUGAACGCUGGCGGCAGGCCUAACACAUGCAAGUCGAACGAGUGGCGGACGGGUGUGUAAUGUCUGGGAAACUGCCUGAUGGAGGGGGAUACCUACGGGAAACGGUAGCUAAUACCGCAUACCAUCAGAUGUGCCCAGAUGGGAUUAGCUAGUUGGUGGGGUAACGGCUCACCAAGGCGACGAUCCCUAGCUGGUCUGAGAGGAUGACCAGCCACACUGGAACUGAGACACGGUCCAGACUCCUCCGUGAGGCAGCAGAGGGGAAUAUUGCACAAGGGGCGCAGUCCUGAUGAAGCCAGGCCGCGUGGAUGAAGAAGGCCUUCGGGUUGUAAAGUACUUUCAGCGGGGAGGCGUUACCCGCAGAAGAAGCACCGGCUAACUCCGUGCCAGCAGCCGCGGUAAUUC
rnacentral:rRNA from 1 species